UUAGGCUCGAACGCUUCAGGUGUUCCAAGGACAUUUGUCCGCGGAAUGAAACGGGAAGCCGGUUAAAUUCCGGCGCUGCCCCCGCAACGGUAAUCGAGUUGCGACGAAUCACCCGGCCGCGCGCCCCGCGCGGCCAGCCACUGCCUCACCGCUCGCAGCGAGCGGUCGGAUGGGAAGGCGAUUCGCCGCUCACGCUCGUAAGCCCGGAGACCGGCCCGAAGCGACCCAAACGGU
rnacentral:ncRNA from 33 species